UACGGGGGGGGCAAGCGUUGUUCGGAAUUACUGGGCGUAAAGGGCGCGUAGGCGGCCUACUAAGUCGGACGUGAAAUCCCUCGGCUCAACCGAGGAACUGCGUCCGAUACUGGUGGGCUCGAAUCCGGGAGAGGGAUGUGGAAUUCCAGGUGUAGCGGUGAAAUGCGUAGAUAUCUGGAGGAACACCGGUGGCGAAGGCGGCAUCCUGGACCGGUAUUGACGCUGAUGCGCGAAAGCCAGGGGAGCAAACGGG
rnacentral:rRNA from 1 species